rnacentral:rRNA from 1 species
GACGAACGCUGGCGGCGCGCCUAACACAUGCAAGUCGAACGAGCGAGAGAGAGCUUGCUUUCUCAAGCGAGUGGCGAACGGGUGAGUAACGCGUGAGGAACCUGCCUCAAAGAGGGGGACAACAGCUGGAAACGACUGCUAAUACCGCAUAAGCCCACGACCCGGCAUCGGGUAGAGGGAAAAGGAGCAAUCCGCUGUGAGAUGGCCUCGCGUCCGAUUAGCUAGUUGGUGAGGUAACGGCCCACCAAGGCGACGAUCGGUAGCCGGACUGAGAGGUUGAACGGCCACAUUGGGACUGAGACACGGCCCAGACUCCUACGGGAGGCAGCAGUGGGGAAUAUUGCACAAGGGGGGAAACCCUGAUGCAGCGGCGCCGCGUGGAGGAAGAAGGUCUUCGGAUUGUAAACUCCUGUUGUAGAGGAAGAUAAUGACGGUACUCAACAAGGAAGUGGCGGCUAACUACGUG